CAUGGAAGUCUCCAAGCCUGUGCCAUCCACCUGCCAAGGAAAAGCACAAGCUCAAGGCUGUAGGAGGAAGAAAAAUCUAGUCCCUGGGGGUACUGAUGAAUCAGUUGGAUGGUGGGCGUUGGACUGUGAAUUCCUGAUGCCUCUGGGUAAACUCUGGAGGAAAUUCUGUUUCAUUACUUGCACUCAGCCCUCCUAUUUUGUACUAAGGCAGUAGAGCGAGGGAAGCUGCACUGGCUGAGAGGCUGUGGAACCGGAUGAAAAAGCAGCCCCUGAGUCCUGUGGCGUUGGCUCAUACAGUUUGAACAUUUAUUCGCCUCCUGAGCUUGUACAACAGUCGUGGGAGUUGCUGCAGAAGCAAGCGAAAAGCCAGAUGAGCGCUUCUAAACUUAGAGAGAGGAGAGUUGGGGCCUUCCAUUCCCUCCAGUAAAUACUUGUUUUUCUUCCACCGCUGAGGCAAAUGCGGGGUGGCUGAUCACCUGGCAGACAUCUUAGGAAACAGGAGCACCGGUCUGGGAAACUGCUGGCCUGGCCUAACACCUGGCGCUGUGGUGCAGGAGGGCAGCCACUGAGGAUUCUUGAGGAGAGAGAGACCAUAGAAUGAAUGAAAGAGUUGGAAAGACUUUAAAGCUCUGGGAGGCUGAAUCCUUUAUUUCGCUGGAAGAAAAACUGAAUGCCAAGAGGGCCUCACUUUCCCCAAAGCUAUACAGCCAUCAGGGGCAAUGCUGGGAUUCCCCCAUGGAUCUCUUGACUCCUAAUACAGUGCUCUUUCUGAUAUGCCAUCUGGCUCCAUAAUGAACAUUGUGUUCCAGGAAAAUCAGUCUGCGCUGAACAGGAUGGAAUUGGGGCAGGACGUCCAGUGAGGAGGACAUUGAGGCAGUAGAGCAG
rnacentral:antisense_RNA from 1 species